rnacentral:rRNA from 1 species
UACGGAGGGGGCUAGCGUUGUUCGGAAUUACUGGGCGUAAAGCGCGUGUAGGCGGCUCGGUAAGUCUGCUGUGAAAGUCCAGGGCUCAACCCUGGGAUGCCGGUGGAUACUGUCGAGCUCGAGUCCGGAAGAGGCGAGUGGAAUUCCUGGUGUAGCGGUGAAAUGCGCAGAUAUCAGGAGGAACACCAAUGGCGAAGGCAGCUCGCUGGGACGGUACUGACGCUGAGGAGCGAAAGCGUGGGGAGCGAACAGG